AUUGAACGCUGGCGGCAGGCUUAACACAUGCAAGUCGAACGAGUGGCGGACGGGUGAGUAAUGCUUGGGAAUCUAGCUUAUGGAGGGGGAUAACUACGGGAAACUGUAGCUAAUACCGCGUACCAUAGGAUGAGCCCAAGUGGGAUUAGGUAGUUGGUGAGGUAAAGGCUCACCAAGCCGACGAUCUCUAGCUGGUCUGAGAGGAUGACCAGCCACACUGGGACGGAGACACGGCCCAGACUCCUACGGGAGGCAGCAGUGGGGAAUAUUGCGCAAUGGGGGCAACCCUGACGCAGCCAUGCCGCGUGAAUGAAGAAGGCCUUAGGGUUGUAAAGCACUUUCAGCGAGGAGGCGUUACUCGCAGAAGAAGCACCGGCUAACUCCGUGCCAGCAGCCGCGGUAAUAC
rnacentral:rRNA from 1 species